rnacentral:piRNA from 1 species
AACUGAGACUCUAGUGUAACUUG